AACGAACGCUGGCGGCAUGCCUAACACAUGCAAGUCGAACGAGACCUUCGGGUCUAGUGGCGCACGGGUGCGUAACGCGUGGGAAUCUGCCCUUAGGUUCGGAAUAACUUCGGGAAACUGAAGCUAAUACCGGAUGAUGACGUAAGUCCAAAGAUUUAUCGCCUAAGGAUGAGCCCGCGUUGGAUUAGCUAGUUGGUGAGGUAAAGGCUCACCAAGGCGACGAUCCAUAGCUGGUCUGAGAGGAUGAUCAGCCACACUGGGACUGAGACACGGCCCAGACUCCUACGGGAGGCAGCAGUGGGGAAUAUUGGACAAUGGGCGAAAGCCUGAUCCAGCAAUGCCGCGUGAGUGAUGAAGGCCUUAGGGUUGUAAAGCUCUUUUACCCGGGAUGAUAAUGACAGUACCGGGAGAAUAAGCUCCGGCUAACUCCGUGCCAGCAGCCGCGGUAAUGUAGACGUCU
rnacentral:rRNA from 1 species